rnacentral:rRNA from 1 species
UGGGGAAUAUUGCACAAUGGGCGCAAGCCUGAUGCAGCCAUGCCGCGUGUGUGAAGAAGGCCUUCGGGUUGUAAAGCACUUUCAGCGAGGAGGAAGGUGGUGAACUUAAUACGUUCAUCAAUUGACGUUACUCGCAGAAGAAGCACCGGCUAACUCCGUGCCAGCAGCCGCGGUAAUACGGAGGGUGCAAGCGUUAAUCGGAAUUACUGGGCGUAAAGCGCACGCAGGCGGUUUGUUAAGUCAGAUGUGAAAUCCCCGGGCUCAACCUGGGAACUGCAUUUGAAACUGGCAAGCUAGAGUCUCGUAGAGGGGGGUAGAAUUCCAGGUGUAGCGGUGAAAUGCGUAGAGAUCUGGAGGAAUACCGGUGGCGAAGGCGGCCCCCUGGACGAAGACUGACGCUCAGGUGCGAAAAGCGUGGGGAGCAAAACAGGAUUAGAUACCCUGGUAGUCCACGCUGUAAAACGAUGUCGAUUUUGGAGGUUGUGCCCUUGAGGCGUGGNUUCCGGAGCUAACGCGUUAAAAUCGACCGCCUGGGGAGUACGGCCNCAAGGUUAAAACUAAAGGAAUUGACGGGUCUAGCUNUUCCU